UGAGGAAUAUUGGUCAAUGGGCGAUGGCCUGAACCAGCCAAGUAGCGUGAAGGAUGACUGCCCUAUGGGUUGUAAACUUCUUUUAUAAAGGAAUAAAGUCGGGUAUGCAUACCCGUUUGCAUGUACUUUAUGAAUAAGGAUCGGCUAACUCCGUGCCAGCAGCCGCGGUAAUACGGAGGAUCCGAGCGUUAUCCGGAUUUAUUGGGUUUAAAGGGAGCGUAGAUGGAUGUUUAAGUCAGUUGUGAAAGUUUGCGGCUCAACCGUAAAAUUGCAGUUGAUACUGGAUGUCUUGAGUGCAGUUGAGGCAGGCGGAAUUCGUGGUGUAGCGGUGAAAUGCUUAGAUAUCACGAAGAACUCCGAUUGCGAAGGCAGCCUGCUAAGCUGCAACUGACAUUGAGGCUCGAAAGUGUGGGUAUCAAACA
rnacentral:rRNA from 2 species